rnacentral:rRNA from 1 species
CCCUAAUACAUGCAAGUCGAGCGGACAGAAGGGAGCUUGCUCCCGGAUGUUAGCGGCGGACGGGUGAGUAACACGUGGGUAACCUGCCUGUAAGACUGGGAUAACUCCGGGAAACCGGAGCUAAUACCGGAUAGUUCCUUGAACCGCAUGGUUCAAGGAUGAAAGACGGUUUCGGCUGUCACUUACAGAUGGACCCGCGGCGCAUUAGCUAGUUGGUGAGGUAACGGCUCACCAAGGCGACGAUGCGUAGCCGACCUGAGAGGGUGAUCGGCCACACUGGGACUGAGACACGGCCCAGACUCCUACGGGAGGCAGCAGUAGGGAAUCUUCCGCAAUGGACGAAAGUCUGACGGAGCAACGCCGCGUGAGUGAUGAAGGUUUUCGGAUCGUAAAGCUCUGUUGUUAGGGAAGAACAAGUGCAAGAGUAACUGCUUGCACCUUGACGGUACCUAACCAGAAAGCCACGGCUAACUACGUGCCAGCAGCCGCGGUAAUACGUAGGUGGCAAGCGUUGUCCGGAAUUAUUGGGCGUAAAGGGCUCGCAGGCGGUUUCUUAAGUCUGAUGUGAAAGCCCCCGGCUCAACCGGGGAGGGUCAUUGGAAACUGGGAAACUUGAGUGCAGAAGAGGAGAGUGGAAUUCCACGUGUAGCGGUGAAAUGCGUAGAGAUGUGGAGGAACACCAGUGGCGAAGGCGACUCUCUGGUCUGUAACUGACGCUGAGGAGCGAAAGCGUGGGGAGCGAACAGGAUUAGAUACCCUGGUAGUCCACGCCGUAAACGAUGAGUGCUAAGUGUUAGGGGUUUCCGCCCCUUAGUGCUGCAGCUAACGCAUUAAGCACUCCGCCUGGGGAGUACGGUCGCAAGACUGAAACUCAAAAGGAAUUUGACGGGGGCCCGCACAAGCGGUGGAGCAUGUGGUUUAAUUUCGAAGCAACGCGGAGAACCUUACCAGUCGUGACAUCCUCUGACAACCCUAGAGAUAGGCUUUUCCUUCGGGACAGAGUGACAGUGUGCAUGGCUGUCGUCAGCUCGUGUCCUGAGAAUGUUGGGUUUAAAGUUCCCGCAACCAGCGGCAAACCCUUGAAUCC